CUACGGGACGCUCCAGUGAGGAAUUUUGCGCAAUGGGGGAAACCCUGACGCAGCAACGCCGCGUGAGUGAUGAAGGCCUUCGGGUCGUAAAACUCUGUCAAGUGGGAAGAACCUAUGUAAGGUUAAUACCCUUAUGUACUGACGGUACCACUGAAGGAAGCACCGGCUAACUCCGUGCCAGCAGCCGCGGUAAUACGGAGGGUGCAAGCGUUAUUCGGAAUUAUUGGGCGUAAAGGGCGCGCAGGCGGUUUUGUAAGUCAGAUGUGAAAGCCCGGGGCUUAACCUCGGAAGUGCAUUUGAUACUGCAAGACUUGUGUAUGGGAGGGGGAAGUGGAAUUCCUGGUGUAGAGGUGAAAUUCGUAGAUAUCAGGAGGAACACCAGUGGCGAAGGCGACUUCCUGGACCAAUACUGACGCUGAGGCGCGAAGGCGUGGGGAGCAAACAGGAUUAGAUACCCCAGUAGUC
rnacentral:rRNA from 1 species